AGCGAACGCUGGCGGCAGGCCUAACACAUGCAAGUCGAACGAACUCUUCGGAGGUAGUGGCGGACGGGGGAGUAACACGUGGGAACGUGCCUUUUGGUUCGGAAUAACUCAGGGAAACGUGUGCUAAUACCGAGUGUGCCCUUCGGGGGAAAGAUUUGUCGCCAUUAGAGCGGCCCGCGUCUGAUUAGCUAGUUGGUGAGGUAACGGCGGACCAAGGCGACGAUAAGUAGCUGGGCAGAGAGGAUGACCAGCCACACUGAGGCGCAGACGCGGCGCAGAAUACUACGCGAGGCAGGAGUGGCGAAUCCUGCGAAAUGGGCGAAAGCAAGACGCCCCCAGGCUGGGUGAAUGAUGAAGGUCUUAGGAUAGUGAAAUUCUUUCAUCGGCGACGAUACUGACGGUACCCGGAGAAGAAGCCCCGGCUAACUUCGUG
rnacentral:rRNA from 1 species